UACAGAGGGUGCGAGCGUUAAUCGGAAUUACUGGGCGUAAAGCGCACGUAGGUGGCGACGUAAGUCGGGUGUGAAAGCCCCGGGCUCAACAUGGGAAUUGCAUUCGAGACUGCAUUGCUGGAGUACGGAAGAGGAGGGCGGAAUUCCCGGUGUAGCGGUGAAAUGCGUAGAUAUCGGGAGGAACAUCAGUGGCGAAGGCGGCCCUCUGGUCCAGUACUGACGAUCAAGUGCGAAAGCGUGGGGAGCAAACAGG
rnacentral:rRNA from 1 species